rnacentral:rRNA from 1 species
GGCGAACGUUGGCGGCGUGCUUAAUACAUGCAAGUCAACUGAAGCAGUGGUAGCAAUAUCGCUGUGGAGGUGGCGCACGGGUGAGUAACACGUAGGUAAUCUGCCUUCAGGUCUGGCAUAACUCCGGGAAACCGGGGCUAAUAGCAGAUGAUGCAGCGGCUCGACAUCGAGACAGUUGUUAAAGCUAUGGCGCCUGAAGAUGAGCCUGCGUCUGAUUAGCUAGUUGGCGGGGUAACGGCCCACCAAGGCAACGAUCAGUAGCUGGUCUGAGAGGAUGAUCAGCCACACUGGAACUGAGACACGGUCCAGACUCCUACGGGAGGCAGCAGUAAGGAAUAUUGCUCAAUGGGAGAAAUCCUGAAGCAGCAACGCCGCGUGAGGGACGAAGGGCUUUUGCUUGUAAACCUCUGUAGUGAGAGAAAAAAAUCCCAAUCUUUGGGACAUGAUGGUAUCUCAAAAGUAAGCCCCGGCUAACUACGUG